GUGGUGUGCAUCCUUUGAAUCAUCAUUCUAGCCCUGCUCUGGAUCUACAAAAAAUUCCUGGAGCCAUCCACAUACUCUCUGAUUUCUCCUUUUGUUCAUCAUUUAUGGCCUAGAAAAGCUAUGCAGGAAUCCAAUGGCAAAGUAGACUAUAAGGAUGCAGACAUAAAUGGAUUACCAACAAAAGGGCCAACAGACAUCUCUGAUAAAAAG
rnacentral:lncRNA from 1 species